rnacentral:rRNA from 1 species
UACGAAGGGUGCAAGCGUUACUCGGAAUUACUGGGCGUAAAGCGUGCGUAGGUGGUUUGUUAAGUCUGUUGUGAAAGCCCCGGGCUCAACCUGGGAAUGGCAAUGGAUACUGGCAAGCUAGAGUGCGGUAGAGGGUAGUGGAAUUCCCGGUGUAGCGGUGAAAUGCGUAGAGAUCGGGAGGAACACCAGUGGCGAAGGCGGCAUACCUGGACCAGCACUGACACUGAGGCACGAAAGCGUGGGGAGCAAACAGG